rnacentral:lncRNA from 1 species
AGAGAGAAAGAAUAGCAUACAGAAAUGCCAGAUUGACCGUGUUCAGUAACCCUAAGCUAAUAAGCUUCAUUUUUUUCCUAGAAACUUUUUUUUUUUUUUUUAUGUGGACCAUUUUUAACAUCUUUUUUGAUGGCAUCAUUGACUCAAUGGACAUGAGUUUGAGCAAGCUCUGGGAGAUAGAGAAGGAUAGGGAAGCCUGGCGUACUGCAGUCAAUGGGAUCACAAAGAGUCAGACAUGACUGAGCAACAACAUUGAAUGUGUUACAAUAUUAUUUCUAUUUUAUGUUUUGUUUUUUAGGGGGCCAGGAGGCAUGUGGGAUCUUAGCUGUCCGCCCAGGAAUCAAAUAGGCAUCUUCUGCAUUGACAGGUAGAUUCUUUACCAGAGUGCCACGAGGGAAGUCCCUAAAAAAGCUGCUUUUAUUCCACAGGCCAGUGAUGUUCCACUGACCUCUGGGCUUUAGACAAGAAACUAGGAGAAAGGAAGAAAGUGAGAGCGCAAAGCAGAAAAAAGUAAAUAAGUAAGUUUCUGACCUUUCAUCUUAAGAUUUCCCCACAGCAGUGCUGCCUUCCUCACUUCUUGCCCACAAUCUCCACUUCAGGAGUAAAGAAAGCGCCCAGGAAAGUACGAGGCCGAAUCUCGACCUUCCACAGUCAGAGAACAGUUAACUCCAGGCUUCUCAUCCUUACUGCAGCUUCAAAAUGCCGGCCUCUGAGAAUAUAUCCUGUCUAGCUGACUCAUUAGAGAAGAACCUGAUGCUGGGAAAGAUUGAAGGCCAGAGGAGAAGAGGACAACAGAGGAUGAGAUGGCUGGAUGGCAUCACGGACUCAGCGGACAAAGGUUUGAGCAAGCUCUGGGAGAUGGUGAAGGACAGGGAAGCCUGGUGUGCUGUAGUCCAUGAAGCUGCAAAGAGUCGGACACGACUGAGUGACUGAACAAGAUCAACAACCUGAAGAUCACUCACUUAAGUGAUUAAGUUUACUUGCUUCCUUGAGACCUAGGUAAUAGUGUUGUAGACUCAAGAGGCACCAGCCUCUCAUGUUGGAACCAAACAGGAAAAAAAAUCAGGUACAAUUAAGGAAUUGAAAAUGGCCUACAUGUUUCAGAAACUAAUUCAGUGGCUUCUACUUUGGUUUCUCCCAAGAGAAUAGGAAAGGAUGACUCCCCUACUUUGGGCUCCAUCCAUUUCUCAACAAGCUGCCCUACCAUCUCCACCUCCUCCUACUCUUACAUUUACAGUCACUCCGUUCUGCACCUUCUGAAGAGCAAAUGUGCCAGUGAUCACUCCUCACAAUAAUCCUAGGUGAGAACCUAGGAAACGAUCAAAGACAAGCUAUUGAAAAAAAGCAUUUGGCCCUUGUGCCUUGAGCGUAAAAGCAACUAGUCAAUAAAAGAAGGCACAGGUGGAAAGAAUGUGGAUUC